rnacentral:pre_miRNA from 1 species
CGAUGAAGAUGAAGAUGAUAAUGAGGAUGAUGGUGAUGAUGAUGAUGAAUAUUAAUAAGAGCCAGCACCUUCAUCAUCACCACCACCACCACCACCACCAUCAUCAUCAUCAUCAUCAUCAUCAUCAUCAUCAUCAUCA